rnacentral:misc_RNA from 1 species
GAUGAAGAACGUAGCGAAAUGCGAUAACUAAUGUGAAUUGCAGAAUUCCGUGAAUCAUUGAGUCUUUGAACGCACAUUGCGCCCGCCAGCACUCUGGCGGGCAUGCCUGUUCGAGCGUCAUUUCAACCAUCAAGCCCCCAGGGGCUUGUGCUGGGGCCCUGCGGCUGCCCGCAGGCCCUGAAAACCAGUGGCGGGCUCGCUAGUCACACCGAGCGCAGUAGCACAUCUCGCUCAGGGCGUGCGGCGGGCUCCUGCCGUGAAACCCCCCACUGUAACCCCAAAGGUUGACCUCGGAUCAGGUAGGAAUACCCGCUGAACUUAAGCAUAUCAAUAAGCGGAGGA